CCUCCUGUAGCUCAGUUGGUAGAGCAUGGUGUUUGCAACGCCAGGGUUGUGGGUUCGUUUCCCACGGGGGGC
rfam:Salmo salar isolate Sally breed double haploid chromosome ssa22, whole genome shotgun sequence.